UACGGGGGGGGCAAGCGUUGUUCGGAAUUACUGGGCGUAAAGGGCGCGUAGGCGGUCAGACCAAGUCGAGUGUGAAAUCCCCGGGCUCAACCUGGGAACUGCGUCCGAUACUGGAUGGCUUGAAUUCGGGAGAGGGAUGCAGAAUUCCAGGUGUAGCGGUGAAAUGCGUAGAUAUCUGGAGGAAUACCGGUGGCGAAGGCGGCAUCCUGGACCGACAUUGACGCUGAGGAGCGAAAGCUAGGGGAGCAAACGGG
rnacentral:rRNA from 1 species